UAAUGCUUGGGAACUUGCCUUUGCGAGGGGGAUAACAGUUGGAAACGACUGCUAAUACCGCAUAAUGUCUACGGACCAAACGGGGCUUAGGCUCCGGCGCAAAGAGAGGCCCAAGUGAGAUUAGCUAGUUGGUAAGGUAAAGGCUUACCAAGGCAACGAUCUCUAGCUGUUCUGAGAGGAAGAUCAGCCACACUGGGACUGAGACACGGCCCAGACUCCUACGGGAGGCAGCAGUGGGGAAUAUUGCACAAUGGGGGAAACCCUGAUGCAGCCAUGCCGCGUGUGUGAAGAAGGCCUUCGGGUUGUAAAGCACUUUCAGUUGUGAGGAAAAGUUAGUAGUUAAUACCUGCUAGCCGUGACGUUAACAACAGAAGAAGCACCGGCUAACUCCGUGCCAGCAGCCGCGGUAAUACGGAGGGUGCGAGCGUUAAUCGGAAUUACUGGGCGUAAAGCGCACGCAGGCGGUUUGUUAAGCUAGAUGUGAAAGCCCCGGGCUCAACCUGGGAUGGUCAUUUAGAACUGGCAGACUAGAGUCUUGGAGAGGGGAGUGGAAUUCCAGGUGUAGCGGUGAAAUGCGUAGAUAUCUGGAGGAACAUCAGUGGCGAAGGCGACUCCCUGGCCAAAGACUGACGCUCAUGUGCGAAAGUGUGGGUAGCGAACAGGAUUAGAUACCCUGGUAGUCCACACCGUAAACGCUGUCUACUAGCUGUUUGUGACUUUAAGUCGUGAGUAGCGAAGCUAACGCGCUAAGUAGACCGCCUGGGGAGUACGGCCGCAAGGUUAAAACUCAAAUGAAUUGACGGGGGCCCGCACAAGCGGUGGAGCAUGUGGUUUAAUUCGAUGCAACGCGAANAACCUUACCUACACUUGACAUGCAGA
rnacentral:rRNA from 1 species